rnacentral:rRNA from 1 species
GACGAACGCUGGCGGCGUGCUUAACACAUGCAAGUCGAACGAAGUGGCGAACGGGUGAGUAACGCGUAAUCAACCUGCCCUUCAGAGGGGGACAACAGUUGGAAACGACUGCUAAUACCGCAUACUGAAGGAGGGGAUUGCGUCUGAUUAGCUGGUUGGAGGGGUAACGGCCCACCAAGGCGAUGAUCAGUAGCCGGGCUGAUAGGGUGAACGGCCACAUGGGGAAUUAGACAAGGCCCAGAAUCCGACGGGAGGGAGCAGGGGGGAAUCAUCCGCAAUUGACGAAAGUCUGACGGAGGAACGGCGCGGGAGAGAUGACGGCCUUCGGGUUGUAAAGCUCUGUUAAUCGGGACGCGGUACCGGAAUAGAAAGCCACGGCUAACUACGUGCCAGCAGCCGCGGUAAUUC